GUCUUGCUAUCAGUGGAGCUUCAUUGGACUGGAUUUUUUCUUUUUUUUUGACUGCUGAUCCAAAAGAGACAGGAUUUUGCAUUUACCAUUCAGAAGCAGGUGUUAUCUACCAAGCCUGUUCUAAGGCCUGAACUAAGGCUGAGAAUAAAAAUCUGAUAAAAGAACAAUGGCUCUUUAAACGUGGUAAGGAUGCUUGUAACUCUGCACAAUUAGAUCCCUGAGUGCCAUCCUGUGUCUCUGAAUGGCUGGGAGGAGAAUAAUGAAGCAAACAAGAAAGAGUUCAGCAUGGUUGAAGGCCAGUUUACUGCCCAGAUGACUU